AGGAGGGACCUUUUAAGUUAAGUUUGCUACAGUUGUUUAGUGUGUAAGUUCAAAACAGACACAGCAGCAGUGGACUAUGUAGCAGUGUGUUCUGAAGAAGUAAUGUCCUUGCCUUCACAGAGGGGUGGUGGUUCUUCAUUUUCUGAAUUUUAUUUUUUAGGAGUUCCUUGAAUCAGUACAAGACUUGGAAUCUGGGACAAAGAAUCGGACAGCUGUCAAGAAAAAUAAUCUGCUGGCCUAUUGUAGCUUCAGUGAUAUGGCACUUCUGGAGAUGUUUGAGAUUGCAGAGAGGCACUUGAAAGGAAGGGAGUCCUGGUUGUGGGACUUGGGGCCUUUGCUGUGGUCCAAGAGCAAUUCCACAGCAAAGAAGGGGUGGCCAUGGUUCGAAGACCUGUCUUUCAUCUGGACAUCAGUGCACAGUGGCUGCAGGACUUCUGGUCUCCCACUGAGAUCAUCCCUGGUGAGAAGGCAGCAGCUACCUUCUUCCCCUUCUGGCCCAAUGUCCGGCAGGGUGUGUUCUCCCCACUCUUUGGAAAGGGCUGGGAGAAGCAGAGAACUGUCUGCCAAGGUGCCGGUACAGCUCAAGUUCCUCCAAAAGAACCUGCACCCCAAGAGCUGUUUCUCUAAAGGACCUUUUCUCUGGGAUUUGGUUACAAAUGUUGCAUGGAAAUGUGGCUUGCUGUGGCAGUGAGGAUGUUCCUUCUCCUUACAGACGAUGUCAAGAUGGAGCCGCUGAACUACCGGCAGCUCUUGCAAGCUACCGCCAUCCUGCUGCACGUGGUGCAGAGCUGCAUGCAAGAGACCAUCCUCUUGUACUGUCUUCUCCUGAGCAACAAGGUGCACAUCCCAUUCGCCUUCCAUGGGAUCGGCAUCCUGCUGUGUGAAGAUAACCUCCUUUGCAUGAGGUUCUAUCACAGCUGUGUGAUGAUGGAGGGGACUGCAAGCCUGGUUGCACUGCUCCACAGUGUAAGCUGAGGGGGUUUUGAGGGCUGCCUCCAUGUCUCUGGGAAUCCUAUGGAAGAGUGUACCAUCAGGUCACCGCCACCAGCCUGGAUGCGGCAGGCCACUCACAUGCCUUUCCCCAUGCUCACCCCCACUGCUUUCUGUAUUGGCAAAGGGGUGUCCUGGAUCCUUGCCCCUGCAGAAAGCCUGGCAGAAAGUGUUCCUGCACGGCCUCAGUAUUUUGCCGUGCGGCUCCUUCAGAGCAGAACAAAUAUCUUCUAAUGUUCGUGGAAGAGGCUUGGGCAGAUGGUUCUGGAGAGACGCUCUCUUUUGGCACAGGAGACAGUUUUUUUUCCUGCCAAUGAGAGUCAUGAGAAAACUGCCUUGGAAACCUGCAUCCAGCAGGUCUGCAUUCCUUUGCAGAGAAUUUGGCUGAAACAUCCCGCGGGCUUCAGCCCAGAGACCACCGCUCAUGGGAUCCAGGUGUUCCCAAGGUGAGUGCCUUUCCUCUGCAGCGCUUAGCUGAGCAGGCGGGAGGCUUCCUUCCCACCUCCUGUUUUGGAACGUGCGCUGUUGGGUCUUCAUGCUCAGCGCCCAGCUGGGGAGAAGUCCUGAAAAGAGUGGCUCCUGGUUCACUAACACUGCCUUCUGGGUGCGUGUGUCUCCACCUAGAGUGACAGGGAAUCACGGUUGUUUCUCAUGCCCAACCUGUCCCAAUUCCCAUCACAGAGAACUGACUGCACGUGGAGAGGAAUUUGGGCGCCGUGUGCUGCUUUGGCAUAGACAGGAAGGAAAAGGGUUGCCAUGCUCUGCCUAACACCUCGAUAAUUACUACUGACAAGCCACGCGGGGCAGGAGGUCUCCCUUUUUCAAGGCAUGAGAGUUGCAGGAGAGCGCAGGAUCAGCAGAGGUGAGGGAACAGGUCCCUGCUGUGUACUGGAGAUCUGCUUUGAGAGAGGCACCAGGGCUGCAACGAGAGCACUUCCCAAGGCCCAUUAUGCCUGCGCUGUCCGAGCGCGGUUCCUGCGAUGAUCUCUGCCAGCUGGGCGCAGUCCCGGUAUGGCAGCCCGUGUCUCAGCUGGUGCCCACACCGCUCCGUUCAGCAACAGGAGCUCCAUGGGGACAAAGGGAACGGGAGGGCGCCUGGAAGGCCUCACCCAAGGGGCCCCGGAGUGCACAUGGCUGCAGCAGGGACCUUAGGUGGACGUGUUUGUAGUUGAAGCCAGGGACUUUUGUACCACGUCUUACACUAGCAGCCCCAAGGAGAUGAGUGUUCUUCCUCGGAAACAAAGGAAAUGUAAUCCAUUCUAUGAUGUUCUUCCUCUGAAAAAGGAAAUUGUGCUAGUUUUACCAACAGCAUCAAAAUCGCAUUAAACGUCACCGGAACAGC
ensembl:lncRNA